rnacentral:rRNA from 1 species
CCCGGGGCGGGCGUGCUUACACAUGCAGUCGAACGGAAAGGCCCUGCUUUUGUGGGGUGCUCGAGUGGCGAACGGGUGAGUAACACGUGAGUAACCUGCCCUUGACUUUGGGAUAACUUCAGGAAACUGGGGCUAAUACCGGAUAGGAGCUCCUGCUGCAUGGUGGGGGUUGGAAAGUUUCGGCGGUUGGGGAUGGACUCGCGGCUUAUCAGCUUGUUGGUGGGGUAGUGGCUUACCAAGGCUUUGACGGGUAGCCGGCCUGAGAGGGUGACCGGCCACAUUGGGACUGAGAUACGGCCCAGACUCCUACGGGAGGCAGCAGUGGGGAAUAUUGCACAAUGGGCGGAAGCCUGAUGCAGCAACGCCGCGUGCGGGAUGACGGCCUUCGGGUUGUAAACCGCUUUCGCCUGUGACGAAGCGUGAGUGACGGUAAUGGGUAAAGAAGCACCGGCUAACUACGUGCCAGCAGCCGCGGUGAUACGUAGGGUGCGAGCGUUGUCCGGAUUUAUUGGGCGUAAAGGGCUCGUAGGUGGUUGAUCGCGUCGGAAGUGUAAUCUUGGGGCUUAACCCUGAGCGUGCUUUCGAUACGGGUUGACUUGAGGAAGGUAGGGGAGAAUGGAAUUCCUGGUGGAGCGGUGGAAUGCGCAGAUAUCAGGAGGAACACCAGUGGCGAAGGCGGUUCUCUGGGCCUUUCCUGACGCUGAGGAGCGAAAGCGUGGGGAGCGAACAGGCUUAGAUACCCUGGUAGUCCACGCUGUAAACGGUGGGUACUAGGUGUGGGGUCCAUUCCACGGGUUCCGUGCCGUAGCUAACGCUUUAAGUACCCCGCCUGGGGAGUACGGCCGCAAGGCUAAAACUCAAAGGAAUUGACGGGGCCCCGCACAAGCGGCGGAGCAUGCGGAUUAAUUCGAUGCAACGCGUAGAACCUUACCUGGGUUUGACAUGGAUCGGGAGUGCUCAGAGAUGGGUGUGCCUCUUUUGGGGUCGGUUCACAGGUGGUGCAUGGCUGUCGUCAGCUCGUGUCGUGAGAUGUUGGGUUAAGUCCCGCAACGAGCGCAACCCUUGUUCACUGUUGCCAGCACGUUAUGGUGGGGACUCAGUGGAGACCGCCGGGGUCAACUCGGAGGAAGGUGGGGAUGACGUCAAGUCAUCAUGCCCCUUAUGUCCAGGGCUUCACGCAUGCUACAAUGGCUGGUACAGAGAGUGGCGAGCCUGUGAGGGUGAGCGAAUCUCGGAAAGCCGGUCUCAGUUCGGAUUGGGGUCUGCAACUCGACCUCAUGAAGUCGGAGUCGCUAGUAAUCGCAGAUCAGCAACGCUGCGGUGAAUACGUUCCCGGGGCUUGUACACACCGCCCGUCAAGUCAUGAAAGUUGGUAACACCCGAAGCCGGUGGCCUAACCGUUGUGGGGGAGCCGUCGAAGGUGGAAACGGUU